CCUACGGGAGGCAGCAGUGGGGAAUAUUGCACAAUGGGGGAAACCCUGAUGCAGCGACGCCGCGUGAGUGAAGAAGUAUUUCGGUAUGUAAAGCUCUAUCAGCAGGGAAGAAAAUGACGGUACCUGAGUAAUAAGCCCCGGCUAACUACGUGCCAGCAGCCGCGGUAAUACGUAGGGGGCAAGCGUUAUCCGGAUUUACUGGGUGUAAAGGGAGCGUAGACGGCAGCACAAGUCUGGAGUGAAAUGCCGGGGCUUAACCCCGGAACUGCUUUGGAAACUGUGCAGCUAGAGUGCAGGAGAGGUAAGUGGAAUUCCUGGUGUAGCGGUGAAAUGCGUAGAUAUUAGGAGGAACACCAGUGGCGAAGGCGGCUUACUGGACUGUAACUGACGUUGAGGCUCGAAAGCGUGGGGAGCAAACAGGAUUAGAUACCCUAGUAGUC
rnacentral:rRNA from 1 species